CCUACGGGAGGCUGCAGUGGGGAAUAUUGCGCAAUGGGCGAAAGCCUGACGCAGCGACGCCGCGUGAGGGAUGAAGGUCUUCGGAUCGUAAACCUCUGUCAGCAGGGAAGAACGGUCACUGUCCUAAUCAGCAGUGCAUUGACGGUACCUGUAAAGGAAGCACCGGCUAACUCCGUGCCAGCAGCCGCGGUAAUACGGAGGGUGCGAGCGUUAAUCGGAUUUACUGGGCGUAAAGCGCUCGUAGACGGUCUGUCAAGUCAAGGGUGAAAUCUCCGCGCUUAACGUGGGAACUGCCUUUGAAACUGGCAGGCUGGAGUGUGUGAGAGGAAAGUGGAAUUCCUGGUGUAGGAGUGAAAUCCGUAGAUAUCUGGAGGAACAUCAGUGGCGAAGGCGACUAUCUGGAACGUAACUGACGCUGAGGAGCGAAAGCGUGGGUAGCAAACAGGAUUAGAUACCCCAGUAGUC
rnacentral:rRNA from 1 species